rnacentral:siRNA from 1 species
GAGAAAUAAGAUGUUGUGUUGAUG